rnacentral:rRNA from 1 species
UACGGAGGGUGCAAACGUUGCUCGGAAUUAUUGGGCGUAAAGCGUACGUAGGCGGUCCAGCAAGUCGGGUGUGAAAGCCCUUGGCUUAACCAAGGAAGUGCAUUCGAAACUACUGGACUUGAAUACUGGAGAGGAUCGCGGAAUUCCCGGUGUAGAGGUGAAAUGCGUAGAUAUCGGAAGGAACAUCAGUGGCGAAAGCGGCUUCCUGGACCAGCACCGACGUUCAGGCACGAAAGCGUGGGGAGCAAACAGG